rnacentral:rRNA from 1 species
UACGAAGGGGGCUAGCGUUGCUCGGAAUGACUGGGCGUAAAGGGCGCGUAGGCGGUGCAUUUGGUCAGACGUGAAAUCCCUCAGCUUAACUGGGGAACUGCGUCUGAUACUGGAUGGCUUGAGUGUAGGAGAGGAAUGCGGAAUUCCAGGUGUAGCGGUGAAAUGCGCAGAUAUCGGGAGGAACACCAAUGGCGAAGGCAGCUCGCUGGGACGUUACUGACGCUGAGACGCGAAAGCGUGGGGAGCAAACAGG